rnacentral:rRNA from 1 species
GAUGAACGCUGGCGGCGUGCUUAACACAUGCAAGUCGAACGAUGAAGCCCAGCUUGCUGGGUGGAUUAGUGGCGAACGGGUGAGUAACACGUGAGUAACCUGCCCUUAACUCUGGGAUAAGCCUGGGAAACUGGGUCUAAUACCGGAUAGGAGCGUCCACCGCAUGGUGGGUGUUGGAAAGAUUUAUCGGUUUUGGAUGGACUCGCGGCCUAUCAGCUUGUUGGUGAGGUAAUGGCUCACCAAGGCGACGACGGGUAGCCGGCCUGAGAGGGUGACCGGCCACACUGGGACUGAGACACGGCCCAGACUCCUACGGGAGGCAGCAGUGGGGAAUAUUGCACAAUGGGCGCAAGCCUGAUGCAGCGACGCCGCGUGAGGGAUGACGGCCUUCGGGUUGUAAACCUCUUUCAGUAGGGAAGAAGCAAAGUGACGGUACCUGCAGAAGAAGCACCGGCUAACUACGUG